rnacentral:rRNA from 1 species
UACGAAGGGGGCUAGCGUUGCUCGGAAUCACUGGGCGUAAAGGGUGCGUAGGCGGGUCUUUUAAGUCAGGGGUGAAAUCCUGAGGCUCAACCUCAGAACUGCCUUCGAUACUGGCAAUCUCGAGUCCGGAAGAGGUUGGUGGAACAGCUAGUGUAGAGGUGAAAUUCGUAGAUAUUAGCUAGAACACCAGUGGCGAAGGCGGCCAACUGGUCCGGUACUGACGCUGAGGUGCGAAAGCGUGGGGAGCAAACAGG